rnacentral:rRNA from 1 species
UACGAAGGGGGCUAGCGUUGUUCGGAAUCACUGGGCGUAAAGCGUACGUAGGCGGAUCGUUAAGUCAGGGGUGAAAGCCUGGAGCUCAACUCCAGAACUGCCUUUGAUACUGGCGAUCUUGAGACCGGGAGAGGUGAGUGGAACUGCGAGUGUAGAGGUGAAAUUCGUAGAUAUUCGCAAGAACACCAGUGGCGAAGGCGGCUCACUGGCCCGAUACUGACGCUGAGGCACGAAAGCGUGGGGAGCAAACAGG